UAUAUAUAUAUAUAUAUAUAUAUAAAAAAGAUAUUCUUAGUAACAUCUGAGCUGUACUUCAUCACAGCCCAGUGACAGUUCAAGCCUGUUGAGGAAGAAGUGCAUUUGGCCUGCUCAUGCGAAUAAUGCAUGUUUUGGGCUGUGGCAUGAAUAUCUUGGCUGGGGAUCAGGUACAGGUUGGUGAUGAUGAUGUAUGGGUUAAACUACUGUGAACAAGAGCUAAGCUUGUGAGGGCUACAUUUGUGAUCUUCUGGCACACACAGCAAAGUGGAAUGUGCUGGUAAAUUGGGGCGUUUUUGUUAGAAUUGGACUGCGGCUCGUCCCUGUUAGCGUGUCCCUCAGCUGCACUCGCUUCUGCAUAGCUACUGGAAGUAGUGCAUCUGAUGUGACUCAGCCAUAUCUGCUGCUUUCAGACUCCCGAGCAUGGUAUCUAUUUUCUUCUGUCAGUCUCUCUAUCUCUUGCUCUUUCCUGAAUUGCAAGGAUGUCUUGAAAAUACGAGACUGUGCUGAAAAGGCUCUAAAUGUCACGCAGGCAGAUCAAGAGGAGAGAAAGAAAGAGAGAGAGAAAUUGUUUACCUUGCUCUCUUGGUUACUGUGUUCUGGCUGGCGGCCAGUUCACAUGCGCUAAACCUCCGAAAGCAGCCACGUCAGGCACCUGAGUGACAGCUCUCUCACCCUGUAAGGUUGUCUAAGCGCUUUUGAGACAGAAUUCUAUUGGACCAGCUCAAACAAACAGGUAGAGAAGUCCCUGUUGUUGGCCACAAGGUAAUAUUGUCCCUUUUUUUCUUUUAGGUUCUUGAUUAACGAUUAGACGGUAGGACACGGGUCUGCGUGGACACCAGUGGCCCGCAGUGCAGCUGUUACUGCAGUCAACGCCACAGCCUGGCAUGCUGGCUUGUCGUGGUGGGCACCACGGGCAACAAAAUCAUACCUUAGUCAUGCCUUAUAGAUGAGGCAGGCCACGGAAGAGAAUUACCCUGUGGGUGGUUUGCAAAGGGUUUUGGCCUCUGAUGUAUAUAGGAAUGAAAGCUGGUAAUUUUCACUAAUCUGCACAGGUUGUUCAUCAAACCCAUGGCAUGUGUGUGCUUGUGUGCUUUUUUCGGCAUUUUGCAUUUGCCUUUAAUUGUUUAGAGAUUAUAGGUGACAUGGGAACUUGAAGUAGGAAAGACAAACUGUAUCAGGCUUAAUAUUAAGUAUUUGAUAAAUGAGCUUGGUAAAUUCCAUUCUAUAAUUUUCUUGAUCUCUCGUAAGAACUCUAUGUUUACACUAGUUUAAAGUAAUAAAUGUUAUCUACUUUGUUUAGACAUAUUACAUAUUUAGUACAGAAUAAAUUUGUUGUAUUUCAGCUCAAUGUUUUAUCUAUUUAACGAGCUGUUAUGUUUUCCACAUCCUGGUCCCGUUGAUUUGAAUUUUUUUUUCCAGAGGAAAAAAAAAACAACACUGUUCCUUUAAAUCCUUUAUAAACAUUACAUAACACACUGAGGGCCAGGCUACAACAAACAAGCCCAGCAGCGCGAGAGAAAGAGGGGGGCUAAGCUCCAGAAGCAACCAGAUACCUCCAAACAGCAACUGUCACCAAGAUCCUCUGUGCUCCGAGCCCAGGAAACUCCCUUGAACAUUGUCCCAUCCUGAAGAUAAAGCCUUCAGUGUGCCUCUCUGUCCUUCCUCCUAUUGUAAUGUCCAAAUCAAACAUGUAGUGUUUGAGCAGAUCAGAGAAGGGAAGGGAAAUGUUUUUUGGUAACUUAUACCAAUUCCUUCAAUCUUCUUUAAGCAUAAACUGUGUUCAAAGCAGACACUUUACUGAGGGAACGGGAAAAAAACAAGCUAUAGGAGAAAAAUCAGUGGGUUAGGGUGUGGUAGGACAAGUGUCCUUUUACCUGCCAGAAUAUUUGCCACGAUUGGACGUGCUGUAUCGUGAGUUUUGGCAUUCCAAAGCAUUCAGGUAAAUGAUUCAAUCUCAGGUGUGUUAGGCAGUACCUGUCACCACACCUCUGCAGCGUCCUUACAGAAUUCUCCAUUUUCCCUAGUUCACUCCAUUUUAGGAAAAACACAUUCAACAUAUAACCAGCAGCAAAUACAUAAAAGCCAGAAAGCAACAUCUUUUAGUACUCAGUGCCUCAGGUGAGCUAAACUAAUCUUUUCACCUGCUAGGGUUAGCAUUCUUUUGUAAUCUGAUAUGUAGGACAUUUUGCAGGUAGCAUGCUGAAACACACUUGAAUUCAGCGUUGCGAUGUCACCUAGGAGCCAAAGGCACUGCCGUAGUACAGCCUUGCAUUUCAGGCCUUGCCACAAGGUUGUCGGAUUUUGCUGCCAUAGUGAUACAGAUUAUAACAUUGAUUGCUGAUGCUGUUGUGUGUAUGAUGUUGCUGCUGUUGAAUUUCUUAAAGAAGCAGAUGUUGCUGUCAUGUACAGAUUUUUAUAAUAUGUCGAAUUAGGACCUGGUAAAGACCUGGAUUGAAUAGUAUUAUAUCUCAUAAAUGAUCUUUAUUUGGUGAUGUUUUAGGCCCCUGAUCAUAUAAUUCUGAUCCGUUGAUAAAAGUCAUGGUAAGAUCAUGUUCUCACAGGAAUUCUGUUGUUUGGGUUAUUAACUCUAUGGUGAUUUUGGUUGGAAUUUUUUUAUUGUUUACAACU